rnacentral:tRNA from 1 species
GGCGCCGUGGCUUAGUCGGUUAAAGUGCCUGUCUAGUAAAAUGGAGAUCCUUGGUUCAAAUCCCAGCGGUGCCU